AGAACGGUUAGCUGGCAGAUAACUCAAUUUCUGAGUUAAGCUCGCCAUUUUUUAUAAUUUAUCGUAAUUACUGUUUUAUAUUAACAGUGUGUACAAAUAAAGAAUAAAUAAAUAAAAAUUCUAUUUUAACGAAUCUAGCUGUAGGAUUGAAAUGAUUUUAAUAGACCUAGAAGUAUAUAUUUUUUGCACAUCGAAUACGAUUAUUGCCUAUCAUUUAUAUACAAAGCAGUUAUUGCCGCUUACUUAAAUUUUGUACUGCUUUUUACGAAAAUGGCGCGGACGGAGGAGUAUCAAAUUUCCCACACUUAUAGAGAAUAUAGAGAAGGAGUGCAGAAUGAUAAUAUUUAUUUAAAUUAUGCAUGAUAAAUACGUACAUUAAAUCAAUAAAAAAAAACAUUACACACACUAUCAUGUAUUUGACAUAUGCAUGCAUGCGUGUAUGCAUACUAUUUGUUUGUUGUCAAACUUUUCUUAUAAUAUAGUCUGUGGUCAAAUUGAGAAUAGAAUAACAUUGUUUGUCUAUAAUAAUUUGUGUAAAGUGUAGUCUUGGCGAAUUCAGUGAUUAUAAUAUAGAAGUAUAAUAGUCUUUAACAAUAGAAUCAUAAUAGUGUACAAACUUCAAUUAAUUAUAGUCGAAUUUCGACUACCAGGGCCACCACUAGUACGUAUAAAACUCAAAUCAAUAAAUUCAAAGAAAGAAAAAAAAAGCACUGAAUUAGAUCAGCGAGCGUCUCAUUUUAGAAGGAAACGAGGAAAGUUUUCGUUGCCGGCUCGCCAAGAUUCCCAAACGAGGUUGCUGUGGAGUCUGACUGAAUAAAAUAGAAUUUCAAUGGAGAAUAUUGAUAUUCAUAAGUUCAGAGCCAAUCUCGUUGGAGACAAUGCGAUUUCGUUCAAAGAUUUCGUUUCGGUCAUUAUACGUAUCUGUGCAUUGAAAUGCAGUUUGGUUUGUGUUGAAGCUAAACUAUGAAGAGAGAUAUUGUUUUUAUAUCUUGAUUUAAUCAUGAUCAUAUUACAGCUACAAUGUGGUUGUUGCACGUGCUUCUUAUCGACUCUGGUUGUAAUAGAUUUGUUGUGUAGUUAAUAUGCAAUGUUGCACAUUGCAACAUGACGUGUAUGUAUGUGCGAUGUCGGGCGACGCUCCUGCGAGGGCAGUCGUUCGCCUACCGCCAGCUAAGCAAGGUGUGCAAUAAAUGCCUAAUAUAUCAUCAGUAUUUUAUUGAAGAACCCAAUGUUACUAAAGAUUAAAGGCCGCGUUCACAGAUUAAAAAAAUUUGGUAAUAUACAUGCGGUACGGUUAGAAGGACGUGUCUCCAAGGAUUGUGACACAUUUAUGUACGUACUGAUGAAAAAAAAAAACAAAAAGUAAAAUCACUUAUCUGGGUUGCUAGAAAUUUGACUUUAAGCGUUUUGAAAUUAAAAAAGAAAUAAAACCUUUUUCAUUUAUUA